rnacentral:lncRNA from 1 species
GAGGCGUCAAUUGCUGCAGUGGCUGAAGCGACGGAAUCAUGCUGAGCCCUGGAGAAGGCAUCAACAAUCUUCUGAAGAGCGGCUUCAGAGAGAGAGGACUGAGUGUUGGAGGAUGAAGCAAGAAGCAAGUCAACCUUCUCGUUUAGCUCCUUAAGAUGCUUCUUUGUUACUGGAGCAUCGUCCUCGUCGUCGCUUUGAACCUGAAACGGACUAAAGUAGACCGAAUCGAANAUCAACAAUCUUCUGAAGAGCGGCUUCAGAGAGAGAGGACUGAGUGUUGGAGGAUGAAGCAAGAAGCAAGUCAACCUUCUCAUUUAGCUCCUUAAAAUGUUUCUUUGUUACUGGAGCAUCAUCCUCGUCGUCGCUUUGAACCUGAAACGGACUAAAGUAGACCGAAUCGAAGGUCAUAUUUUCCCUUCCAAGGAAAGGGUUAUCUCCGUCAGAGGCAUGACCGGGAGAUGGGGGUAAUGGUGAUGCUGGUGGUGUAGUGGUGUGAGUGGGUUCAAGUUGAGUUUGAGAAAGGGUAGGUUCGGUUGGUGUUUGAGUGGUGGUAGGUUCGGGUGGUUGUUGGGUUUCGGUUGUGUGUAUGGGUUUGGUUACUGGUGGUGGUUCAGUUGCAUCGGUAUGAACCCCCGUAUCAGAUACGUUGGUUGGAACCUUUGCAGUAGCAGUUGUUGCAUCUGUAAAAAUG